AAAACGGCCCUUUUCAGGGCCACCACAUACGGAUUGUGCUUGCUGU
rfam:Macrostomum lignano uti_cns_0002956, whole genome shotgun sequence.